AUUGAACGCUGGCGGCAGGCCUAACACAUGCAAGUCGAACGAGUGGCGGACGGGUGAGUAAUGUCUGGGAAACUGCCCGAUGGGGGGGGAUAACUACUGGAAACGGUAGCUAAUACCGCAUACCAUCGGAUGUGCCCAGAUGGGAUCAGCUAGUAGGUGGGGUACCGGCUCACUUAGGCGACGAUCCCUAGCUGGUCUAAGAGGAUGACCAGACACACUGUAACUGUGACACGGUCCAGACUCCUACGGGAGGCAGCAUGGGGGAAUAUUGCACAAUGGGCGCGAGCCUGAUGCAGCCAUGCCGCGUGUAUGAAGAAUUCCAUCGGGUUGUAAAGUACUUUCAGCGAGGAGGCGUUACGCGCAGAAGAAGCACCGGCUAACUCCGAGCCAGCAGCCGCGGUAAUAC
rnacentral:rRNA from 1 species